GCUCAUAUUUUAUACCAAGACAAAACAUGUACAUGUUAACAUUUCCAAUCAGUUAAAAUCAGAAGCCAUAAGAGCUGCAUCCUGGUACUGCAUCCGGG